AUUGAACGCUGGCGGCAGGCCUAACACAUGCAAGUCGAGCGGGGUUUUCGGACCUAGCGGCGGACGGGUGAGUGAUGCGUAGGAAGCUGCCCGAUAGAGGGGGAUACCAGUUGGAAACGACUGUUAAUACCGCAUAAUGUCUACGGACCAAAGUGUGGGACCUUCGGGCCACAUGCUAUCGGAUGCGCCUACGUGGGAUU
rnacentral:rRNA from 1 species